ensembl:snRNA Gm22043 U1 spliceosomal RNA
GUACUUUGUUGGCAGGGGAGAAUAGUCAGGAAUGUGGGUUUCUUAGGCAAGGUUCAGCCAUUGUACUUGAGAUGUGUUGAUCCCUGAAAUUUCUCAAAAUCUAGGAAAUUCUACUGCCUAAGUUGUGGUUCUGGGGUAUUGCAUUAUGUUCUCCCUUA